rnacentral:rRNA from 1 species
CGGGACGGGUGAGUAACACGUGGAUAACCUACCUAUAAGACUGGGAUAACUUCGGGAAACCGGAGCUAAUACCGGAUAAUAUAUUGAACCGCAUGGUUCGAUAGUGAAAGACGGUUUUGCUGUCACUUAUAGAUGGAUCCGCGCCGCAUUAGCUAGUUGGUAAGGUAACGGCUUACCAAGGCAACGAUGCGUAGCCGACCUGAGAGGGUGAUCGGCCACACUGGAACUGAGACACGGUCCAGACUCCUACGGGAGGCAGCAGGC